rnacentral:rRNA from 1 species
AUUGAACGCUGGCGGCAGGCUUAACACAUGCAAGUCGAGCGGGGGAAGGUAGCUUGCUACCGGGCCUAGCGGCGGACGGGUGAGUAACACGUGGGGAACCUGCCCUAUAGACUGGGAUAACACCGGGAAACCGAUGCUAAUACCGGAUAGGAGCAAAGGAGGCAUCUUCUUUGCUGGAAAGUUGGCUUCGUCUAACACUAAAGGAUGGUCCCGCGGCGCAUUAGCUAGUUGGUGGGGUAGAGGCCUACCAAGGGGACGAUGCGUAGCCGACAUGACAGGGUGACCGGCCACAGUGGGACUGAGUCACUGCCCAGACAGCUACGGGAGGCAGCAGUAGGGUAGCUUCGGCUAUGGACGGAAGUCUGACCGAGCAACGCCGCGUGAGUGAAGAAGGUUUUCGGAUCGUAAAGAUCUGUUGGAGGGGAAGAAAAGUUAGUAUUCGAAUAGGUUAUUAACAUGACGGUACCCUAUUAUAAAACCACGGCUAACUACUUGACAGCCGCCGCCGUAA